rnacentral:rRNA from 1 species
ACGAACGCUGGCGGCGUGCCUAACACAUGCAAGUCGAACGGAACUUCUUUAAAGGAUUUCUUCGGAAUGAAUUUGAUUAAGUUUAGUGGCGGACGGGUGAGUAACGCGUGAGUAACCUGCCUCUGAGAGGGGAAUAACAUUCUGAAAAGAAUGCUAAUACCGCAUAAUAUAUAUUUAUCGCAUGGUAGAUAUAUCAAAGAUUUAUCGCUUAGAGAUGGACUCGCGUCCGAUUAGUUAGUUGGUGAGGUAACGGCUCACCAAGACUGCGAUCGGUAGCCGGACUGAGAGGUUGAACGGCCACAUUGGGACUGAGACACGGCCCAGACUCCUACGGGAGGCAGCAGUGGGGGAUAUUGCGCAGUGGGGGAAACCCUGACGCAGCAACGCCGCGUGAAGGAUGAAGGUCUUCGGAUUGUAAACUUCUUUUAUUAAGGACGAAGAAAGUGACGGUACUUAAUGAAUAAGCUCCGGCUAACUACGUGCCAGCAGCCGCGGUAAUACGUAGGGAGCAAGCGUUGUCCGGAUUUACUGGGUGUAAAGGGUGCGUAGGCGGCUUUGCAAGUCAGAUGUGAAAUCUAUGGGCUCAACCCAUAGCCUGCAUUUGAAACUGCAGAGCUUGAGUGAAGUAGAGGCAGGCGGAAUUCCCCGUGUAGCGGUGAAAUGCGUAGAGAUGGGGAGGAACACCAGUGGCGAAGGCGGCCUGCUGGGCUUUAACUGACGCUGAGGCACGAAAGCGUGGGUAGCAAACAGGAUUAGAUACCCUGGUAGUCCACGCUGUAAACGAUGAUUACUAGGUGUGGGGGGUCUGACCCCUUCCGUGCCGGAGUUAACACAAUAAGUAAUCCACCUGGGGAGUACGGCCGCAAGGUUGAAACUCAAAGGAAUUGACGGGGGCCCGCACAAGCGGAGGAACAUGUGGUUUAAUUCGAUGAUACGCGAGGAACCUUACCCGGGCUUGAACUGCAGUGGAAUUAUCCGGAAACGGAUAAGCGAGCAAUCGCCGCUGUGGAGGUGCUGCAUGGUUGUCGUCAGCUCGUGUCGUGAGAUGUUGGGUUAAGUCCCGCAACGAGCGCAACCCUUGCUAUUAGUUGCUACGCAAGAGCACUCUAAUAGGACUGCCGUUGACAAAACGGAGGAAGGUGGGGACGACGUCAAAUCAUCAUGCCCCUUAUGACCUGGGCUACACACGUACUACAAUGGACAUAAACAGAGGGAAGCAAAACAGCGAUGUGGAGCAAACCCCUAAAAAUGUUCUCAGUUCAGAUUGCAGGCUGCAACCCGCCUGUAUGAAGAUGGAAUUGCUAGUAAUCGCAGAUCAGCAUGCUGUGGUGAAUACGUUCCCGGGCCUUGUACACACCGCCCGUCACACCAUGGGAGCCGGUAAUACCCGAAGUCAGUAGUCUAACCGCAAGGAGGACGCUGCCGAAGGUAGGAUUGGCGACUGGGGUG